GGAGAGGUGGCUGAGUUUGGUUGAAAGCGCGGUUUUCGAAAAGCCGUAGACCAGCAAUGGUCUCGUGGGUUCGAAUCCCACCCUCUCCG
rnacentral:tRNA from 1 species